rnacentral:rRNA from 1 species
AGUGAACGCUGGCGGUAGGCCUAACACAUGCCAGUCGAACGGCAGCACAGUAAGAGCUUGCUCUUACGGGUGGCGAGUGGCGGACGGGUGAGGAAUACAUCGGAAUCUACUUUUUCGUGGGGGAUAACGUAGGGAAACUUACGCUAAUACCGCAUACGACCUACGGGUGAAAGCAGGGGAUCUUCGGACCUUGCGCGAUUGAAUGAGCCGAUGUCGGAUUAGCUAGUUGGCGGGGUAAAGGCCCACCAAGGCGACGAUCCGUAGCUGGUCUGAGAGGAUGAUCAGCCACACUGGAACUGAGACACGGUCCAGACUCCUACGGGAGGCAGCAGUGGGGAAUAUUGGGCAAUGGGCGCAAGCCUGAUCCAGCCAUACCGCGUGGGUGAAGAAGGCCUUCGGGUUGUAAAGCCCUUUUGUUGGGAGAGAAAAGCAGCAGGUUAAUACCCCGCUGUUCUGACGGUACCCAAAGAAUAAGCACCGGCUAACUUCGUG